UACGUAGGGUGCAAGCGUUGUCCGGAAUUAUUGGGCGUAAAGAGCGUGUAGGCGGCCCGACCAGUCCGCUGUGAAAGUCCAGGGCUCAACCCUGGAAUGCCGGUGGAUACUGUCGGGCUAGAGUCCGGAAUGGGCGAGUGGAAUUCCUGGUGUAGCGGUGAAAUGCGUAGAUAUCAAGAGGAACACCUGAGGUGAAGACGGGUUGCUGGGCUGACACUGACGCUGAGGCGCGAAAGCCAGGGGAGCAAACGGG
rnacentral:rRNA from 1 species